UAGGGAAUAUUGCAAAAUGGGCGAAAGCCCGAUGCAGCAACGCCGCGUGGGCGAUGAAGGCCUUCGGGUCGUAAAGCCCUUUUUGAGGGGAUGAGGAAGGACAGUACCCUCAGAAUAAGCCUCGGCUAACUACGUGCCAGCAGCCGCGGUAAAACGUAGGAGGCGAGCGUUAUCCGGAUUUACUGGGCGUAAAGCGCGUGCAGGCGGAUUGGGGAGUUGGAUGUGAAAGCUCCCGGCUUAACUGGGAGAGGUCGUUCAAUACUUCCAGUCUUGAGUGCAGUAGAGGGAAGUGGAAUUCCGGGUGUAGUGGUGAAAUGCGUAGAUAUCCGGAGGAACACCAGUGGCGAAAGCGGCUUCCUGGACUGUAACUGACGCUCAGACGCGAAAGCUAGGGUAGCAAACG
rnacentral:rRNA from 1 species